GAUGAACGCUGGCGGCGUGCUUAACACAUGCAAGUCGAACGAAGCACUUCAUAAAGCUUGCUUUAAGAAGUGACUUAGUGGCGGACGGGUGAGUAACACGUGGGUAACCUGCCUUACACAGGGGGAUAACAGUUAGAAAUGACUGCUAAUACCGCAUAAAACAGCAGAGUCGCAUGACUCAACUGUCAAAGAUUUAUCGGUGUAAGAUGGACCCGCGUCUGAUUAGCUGGUUGGUGGGGUAACGGCCUACCAAGGCGACGAUCAGUAGCCGGCCUGAGAGGGUGAACGGCCACAUUGGGACUGAGACACGGCCCAAACUCCUACGGGAGGCAGCAGUGGGGAAUAUUGGACAAUGGGCGAAAGCCUGAUCCAGCGACGCCGCGUGAGCGAUGAAGUAUUUCGGUAUGUAAAGCUCUAUCAGCAGGGAAGAA
rnacentral:rRNA from 1 species